UACGUAGGGUGCGAGCGUUAAUCGGAAUUACUGGGCGUAAAGCGUGCGCAGGCGGUUCGUUGUGUCGGUGGUGAAAGCCCCCGGCUCAACUGGGGAGGGUCACGCGAUACUGCUCGACUUGAAGGCAGGAGAGGGAAGUGGAAUUCCCGGUGUAGUGGUGAAAUGCGUAGAUAUCGGGAGGAACACCAGUGGCGAAGGCGACUUCCUGGCCUGUUCUUGACGCUGAGGCGCGAAAGCUAGGGUAGCAAACGGG
rnacentral:rRNA from 1 species